rnacentral:rRNA from 1 species
CCUACGGGUGGCAGCAGGGAGGAAUAGUGGGCAAUGGGGGAGAGCCUGAAGCAGCGAAGGAGCGGGAAGGAGGAAGGCCCUACGGGUGGUAAACUUCAUUUAUAAAGGAAUAAAGUGAGGCACGUGUGCCUUUUUGCAUGUACUUUAUGAAUAAGGACAGGCUAACUCCGUGCCAGCAGCCGCUGUAAUACGGGGGAUCCGAGCGUUAUCCGGAUUUAUGGGGUUUAAAGGGGGCGUAGACGGUCGGGUAAGUUAGAGGUGAAAGCCCGGGGCUCAACCUCGUAAUUGCCUCUGAUACUGUUAGGCUAGAGCGUAGUUGCGGUAGGCGGAAUGUCUGGUGUAGCGGUGAAAUGCUUAGAGAUCAUGCAGAACACCGAUUGCGAAGGCAGCUUAC